UACGUAGGGUGCGGAGCGUUGUCCGGAAUUAUUGGGCGUAAAGAGCUUGUAGGUGGUUUGUCGCGUCUGCUGUGAAAAUCCGAGGCUCAACCUCGGACUUGCAGUGGGUACGGGCAGACUAGAGUGUGGUAGGGGAGACUGGAAUUCCCGGUGUAGCGGUGAAAUGCUUAGAGUAUCGGGAGGAACACCAGUGGCGGAAGGCGGUGCUCUAGGGCCGGAACUGACGCUGAGGAGCGAAA
rnacentral:rRNA from 1 species